UGCCUACAGAUAAACAUAUCUCUUUUGCAGCUUCAAUGCAAUAUUCUUUAUAAAUUAUAUAAAC
rnacentral:tRNA from 1 species